GAAGGCCUGAAGAAAUACGCGUAGAUUCUACUAAAAAUGGCGAUACACUUAGUCAUAGGACAGACCUUUCGAAACCUCAAUGUCAAUGAUUAGUGUAGUUAUUUAUAGGAGAGAUCCUCCAAAAAAAUGAAAAGAUCAGCAUGCUUCUAGAACGGCCCAAAGAACUUAGUUAGAACUUUAAUUUGUAUGAAAAAAAAAUCUAGGCAAUCUACUGGAAAACGAGAUGAACCUUUACCAAAAGCUUAUUCUAAGCGGCCUAAAAAUGAUAAUUACGACGGUUACGAAAAUGGGGAUA